UUUUCCCACUUAAAAAAAAAAAGACUAUUUUGCAGUUCCUUGAUUACUAACCUGCUUCUUAAAAAGUUUCCCGGAAUAAAACCAAUAAAUUGUGAAAACUAGGGUGUCCACAUAAUAUUAUGAAUAGGGACCAAAAUGUCCAGGACAUCCUGGAUCACCUGUGUGUGCAUGAAUACUUGUGUGUCUGUGUGAUUCUGUAAGACGCUCCAGGACAUGGAGUUAUCAUAUUACUACUGUCACUGUGUGCACUGGUGCAUGUCCUGGACAGCUCAUGUGUGCAUAAACAGCAGACUGAACUUCUACAUUUGAGAUGAUUUGCGUUUGAAACCAAAAAUCUGAUUUGUUUUUGGAAACAAGAUGUAUAUAAUUUAUAAUUUCAUUUGAGAAGUGCUAAAAUCUAAUUUGUUAAAGUAUAAUCUGAAAAUAAUCACUUGCUUUUCAUGCCAUGCUGAUUUCAUGGCGUUCUCUAACAAUAGCAAAAAAUAAAGACUUCAUAAGUGUAAGUCUGAAGUUGGAAGUUCUUAGGGUUUCUUUGCCUUUUAGUUGUCUCCCUCUGUUCUUCAUUUUUGAGGCUGUUGUGGUUGGCCUGCUCUUGGAGAUUUGUGACAUUUACGUCUGUCCUGGUUUCAUUUCUGUCAGUGUGAUAAAAUGCCCAGACAAAAAGCAAUUUAUGGGAAACAGGUUUUUUUCUCCUUAUAGUUCUAGGUUACAGUCCAUUCUUGCAAUUAUGUCAAGGCAGGAACUUGAUGCA
rnacentral:lncRNA from 1 species